AAGUACCCUGAGGAAAAGAAAUCAACCGAGAUUCCCUUAGUAGUGGCGAGCGAACGGGGACCAGCCCUUAAGCUGGUUUGAGAUUAGUGGAACGCUCUGGAAAGGGCGGCCAUAGUGGGUGAUAGCCACGUACACGAAAAUCUCUUGCCAGUGAAAUCGAGUAGGACGGA
rnacentral:rRNA from 1 species